GACGAACGCUGGCGGCGUGCUUAACACAUGCAAGUCGAACGGAAAGGCCCUGCUUUUGUGGGGUGCUCGAGUGGCGAACGGGGGAGUAACACGUGAGUAACCUGCCCUUGACUUUGGGAUAACUUCAGGAAACUGGGGCUAAUACCGGAUAGGAGCUCCUGCUGCAUGGUGGGGGUUGGAAAGUUUCGGCGGUUGGGGAUGGACUCGCCGCUUAUCAGGUUGUUGGUUGGGUAGUGGCUUACCAAGGAUUUGCCGGAUAGCCGUUCGGAGAGGGUAAACGGCCACAUUGGGACUGAGAUACGGCCCAGACUCCUACGGGAGGCAGCAGUGGGGAAUAUUGCACAAUGGGCGGAAGCCUGAUGCAGCAACGACGCGUGCGGGAUGACGGACUUCGGGUUGUAAACCGCUUUCGCCUGUGACGAAGCGUGAGUGACGGUAAUGGGUAAAGAAGCACCGGCUAACUACGUG
rnacentral:rRNA from 1 species